rnacentral:rRNA from 1 species
GAUGAACGCUGGCGGCGUGCCUAAUACAUGCAAGUCGAGCGAACGGACGAGAAGCUUGCUUCUCUGAUGUUAGCGGCGGACGGGUGAGUAACACGUGGAUAACCUACCUAUAAGACUGGGAUAACUUCGGGAAACCGGAGCUAAUACCGGAUAAUAUUUUGAACCGCAUGGUUCAAAAGUGAAAGACGGUCUUGCUGUCACUUAUAGAUGGAUCCGCGCUGCAUUAGCUAGUUGGUAAGGUAACGGCUUACCAAGGCAACGAUGCAUAGCCGACCUGAGAGGGUGAUCGGCCACACUGGAACUGAGACACGGUCCAGACUCCUACGGGAGGCAGCAGUAGGGAAUCUUCCGCAAUGGGCGAAAGCCUGACGGAGCAACGCCGCGUGAGAGAUGAAGGUCUUCGGAUCGUAAAACUCUGUUAUUAGGGAAGAACAUAUGUGUAAGUAACUGUGCACAUCUUGACGGUACCUAAUCAGAAAGCCACGGCUAACUACGUG